AAAUUGCAUAUGUGCUUAAAAUAUCAUAUAUAAGCUAAUCUAAGUUCUUUAUUUGAUACAAAUGUCUAUAGAUAUCUUAUUUUUUGAAAUACAUGUUAAUGAUUAAUAGGGUCGUAUCCUAUAGUUAAUAAAUGUCAAUUAUGACUUGUAGAAAGAAAGAAAAUAAGAAGUACAACUAAAAUUCAGCUUAAGUCUCCUAUGUCAAAACUCUGCAGAUACUACAAAAACUUUAGCUGACAAGUUCAGUCAACCGAAAGGCAAACUUCGAUCGAUCAAAGUGACGACUGAAGUUGCCGCAAUUAUAGAAAUUUAAAAGGUCACAUAAAUGCUAAGACUUUUAAAAUCAUUUAUUAAAGAAAAAUAGUUAACUCCCAUUCUUAAAUGCUUAUCCUCACUUUAUCUCUCACUCUAAAAACUCCUCAAAAUAUUUCAUAAACCUUUAAAGAAUAGGGUUGUUCAUCUCCAAUCCAUUCGAUUCAUCCAAAUAACAAUUCUGACCCUCUAAAGGUUUGGUCAACCAAACCCAGAACUCUAAAAAUCCGAAUCUAAAACUUCGGUCGACCGAAGUUGUAGAAACUGCAGGAGAAGAGGAAGGGAUAGAGUCUCAAACCUUUCAAAUUCCUUCAAGCAAAGAACUCUAAGGCUAUUCAGGUUUUUAUUAGAAUUCUAAGAGUCUUCAAUCUCUCAUCCUUCAUUAUAAAUAACCCUAGAUCUAUCUAUCUCUAUCAUCCUCUCAAAAUUCUCAAACCCAUGUGCAUCCUAUAACCAAACAUGCCUCGAACGACCCUAGGGGCGAGGACACCAAUCCUGAACCACCGAUGGAGUUCAAACCACAACUAUUCAAAAAUAUGGAGAUAUAGAACACGUGGCUAUCUGACUUCAAGGAGAGGCCAAUAAUCAUUGUAAGGGAAUUUGAGAAAAACUUCCCUUUGAGUACUAUCUGAAGAUGUUGGCACCUCUUGAGGCACUAUGAUGGGAUGGAUUGUGCCCUCUUCCAAUAGACUUGUACUCAAAUUUGGUAAGGUUUUUCUAAUACAAUUUGAAAGUAAGAAAUCUAGAAAACAUUGAGUACACAAUAAAUUUGAGAGUUAGAGGGAAAAAUAUAGUCCCAAAUCCCACGAUUUUAUCUAAAAACAUGGGGAUAGCUAAUGUUGGGGAUUGUAUUUUAUUAACAAGCCAGUUUGAAAAAAAACGUGGGUCAAAAAUAAAUGAAUGAGGUGAUCUCAAAAAAGGAGCAUUAGGAGCCACAUAAAGCAAGGAUCUGAAAAAGAAAUUCAUAUUGUUCCAUAGGUAUAUCGCUUACAAUAUAAUUUCCAAGAAAGGACAUUAUAAUCAAGUGACAACCAUGGACAACUUCAUCAUUUAUAGAGCUACGAUAGAAGAACCUCUAAAUCUGAACUACAUAAUUUUUAAAAAAAUGGCUGAUGUGAGGAACCAUAGCAGUCGAGGCCUACCUUUUGGUGCUCUUUUGACUAAGGUUUUCAUACAUUUUAGAGUUAUGUUCAGCAAUCAAAUUGAUUAGUAUAUAGAUGGAGGUUUUUCCAAGCCCAUGAUAAAAAUAAGGAUAAGAGUGGAUUCCAUCGAAGAAGAAGGGGGAGAAGAGGAAAGCAGCCAUGCUAUGGACAUUGAGGGACACUUUGAGGAACCUCCACCUCAAACCGAGGAAACCCAUGACGAAUUGGGUGCUCAAGUUUUCCAACUCCAAUUACAAGAAGGGAAAAUGAUGCAGGAAGAGCAUCCGAUGCAAGAGGAGCAUCUUAUGUAAGAAGGGUGUCCUUCACAAGAAGGGCUUCAUCGCAAGAGGGGCCUCCGGCAUGGUUCCUUGAGUACUUUGGAAAGCUUAAAGCAUCAAUGGAAGAGAUAAAUCAGUGCUUAAAGAAGCACGAAAAGUACAUUGAGAGACUCGGUGAUUUAUAUAAGAAUAUGUAUGAACAACAAAUCAACUUCAAUCAACAAUACAACGAUAGGAUAACAAGCAUUGAGACGCAGUUGGAGUAUCUCUGAUUCACAACCCAUCCAACUCUACCACUGGCUGAUUUCCCUCCUCUAUCUCCUCCUCCACCACCAUUCGAUGCUCCUAACUCUUCAUACUAGCCUCCUCUAGCUAUGCCCUAUUGAUGAUGCCCCAAAAGGGGAGAAGAAUUUAGGUUUUUGAAGAAUUUAGGUGUUUUGAAGUUAGCGUCAAUACUUUCUGAAGUUGUUUUAUGUAUGCUAAACUUUGUUUUUUAAGUUUUUAGAUAAUUUGGUUGUGUUAAGGUUUGGAUAAUUCGUUUUACUUUAGCUUUGCUUAAUUUUGGUUUUGGAUCGUUUAAUGCUUUGGAUAUCUGUUUAAGAUUAGUACAAUUUAAUCUUGAGUUUCUAUAAAAAUCAUGCUUGAUUUUAAUUAUCCUUACAUAAAAUUAUUGCCAUAUAUGUCAUGCUUGCUAUAAAUGCCAUUAUUCUAUGUUUAAAUAAUAUGUUUAACAUGUUAAACCUAAAUUUUUUUAAUAAACAUAUGGAUAGGGGGAGCUUGAGUAAAGGAGAGCAUGUAAAUCUUAAAACAAAUAAUAAUUUUCAAAAACAAGUUGUGUCAUCAUCAAAAAAAGGGAGAUUGUUAAAAUAAAGGCUUAUUUGAUUUUGAUGAUUAAGCCAAGUCAAGUUUAAACCCUUGAUGAAAUCGUAUUAAGGAAGAAAAAAUAAAUUCACACAUGUUGAACUCCAAAUAGUCGUAAACAAGGGUGUUUUAAAAUGAAAAACAUUUACAUAGAUUGACAAAACUACUUAGAAUUGAAAGAACUAAUUCACCUAGAUCACCUUAUUAAAGGAAAACAACAAUGGUCUCAAAGAUAGGCUUACAUAUAUUUAAAGAAAGAUUCGCAACUCUCAACAAGUCAUAUUCAAUGUUAUUAUGCAUACAAACGUGGUAAAAGAGUUUAAUCAAUGCUUAAACUCAAAUUUGAUAAUUAACGGUUUGAACAGCUAAAUGAAGCAAUGCCUAAACUGUUAUUGUCACAAGUUCGGUCGACCGAACUAGUCAACCGAAGACUGAUGAAGCACAGCCGAACUACAACAAACAAAACUAAUAGAAGAUUGCCCACUGGAAAUAUAGUUCGAGUACGACUGAAGUUUAUAUUCGGUCGAUCGAAGUUAAAGAAGGCAUAGCCGAAAGUGAAACAUAGGACAAAAAGUGCUUACUAGAAAAAUAGGUUUGCUAUGACCGAAUCUUACACUUGGUUGACCGAAGUUAAGAAAAAGCACAUCCGGAGUUGAAAUAGAGCAACAAAAUGCUCUUUGAACAAUGACGAUCGAAGUUGACAUUCGGUCGACCAAAAGUGAAAAACCCUCGACUGAAGUUAUAAAUCCUUUAGAAGACAGAAUGAGCAAGCCAUUGGAAAUCUAGUGCAACUUCGACCGAAGUUGAAGUUCGGUUGACCAAAGUUUGAAAAGUUGAUCCUACAAGUCCAAAUCAAGAUCCAACUCCUGGGAUUCAAUCAGAAUGGCUAGAUCAGAAGUAUUAAAUGUUGCAACGACUCUAAUCUACUUUUGGCUUAUAAAUAUACCCUUGGGGUUGUUGGAGAUGCAUUGAAGUGCCAUAAACUCUUUCUAGCACUUGUAUUCAAUAUUUUAAUCUCUUAUUCAUUUAUUGUGAGUUUGAUUUGUCAGAACUAGAUCACUCUAGACAAAAGAGUUUCAUUGUAUUAAUAUUUGAUCUAAAGUUGUGAGUUAAAAGUUACUUCAACUAAUAUAUCUUGUUGAAAGUAUCACUAUAAGUGAUUGUAAAGUUUCUAAAAGAGGGAGUCUCUCGAAAACUAGAAGAGUUCUAGUGUUUAUAAAGGUUGUCAAACACCCACAAGCUUAAAGAUAUUGAAUUUCCAAGGAAAAAUUUGGAGAGUGAACGUAGGCCGAGAUUGCCGAACUACUAUAAAUUGUUUGCAUUUUUUUCUCUCCUCUCCUUUACAUUGCUCAUAUAUUUGUAUAAACUAAGAGCGCAUUGUCAUUAUAGUUAUUAAGAAGUUUUAAUUGGUCAUUAAUCGAAGCAAAUAUAUUUCACCCCCUCAUAAUUUACUUUCUAACUAACCUUAUUUCAAUUUUUUUUCAAAUUACCUCAAGUUUGAAUUUUAAAUGAUAUUUUUUUCCCGGUAACAAUUAGAAUCUAUAUUUUUGGCGCAAAACAUAAGGGUCUAGAUUUCUAAAUUUUAAUUUUAUGAGUAUGAUACUAAAAUAUAUGGCAAUUAUAAUUUUUUUAUAAAUAAACUUUGUAAUCGCAUACGAGGAGUGAGGGAAUUCCAGUGACUCUCUGUAAGAGCAUUUCCAACACUACUAGCCAUUUCGUCAUGCCAAAAGUAUAAUAAAAAAAACAUAUCUUUUAUAUUAUCUGGCCACUUUUUCAAACAAGUAUUCCAACACUACUCUUGAUUUUUACUAUCCAUCUAAAAUAAUAUAAAAGAUUUUGAAAAGAAAAAUGUGUAUCUCCCAUGCGGCAAUGAUGUGGGGAUUUCUUAACGGUCAUAUUUUUACUUCAAUUCAUCCUUUCAAUAUGAUAAUUCUCAAGAAACCAUUUGUUCAUUUAUCUUUCAAAAUAAUUUUUUUAACUGAUUUGGUUUUUGAUUUUUUUGUUUAUAGUGAAAUUUUUUAAUUGUUUGAUCAAAAUUUUAUAUUUUUUCGAUACCUCUUGAUGAGAGGAGUCUAAAAAUAUAAAAAAAAUUAUUUAGUUUAAAAACAAGUGCACUAAAGACAAAAAAAAAAGAAGCUAAUUUACCAAUUAAAUUUUUUUUGGGGGGUGCCUAGGGUUUUGUUGAGGGGCAGUGAGAUAUGGGUUUGAGUGAGGGUUAAGAGGAGUGAAGGGGGAGUUCGCAAUGGGGAGGGAGAUGACUUGCAUAAGUGGAUGGUGUGGAAACGUACCAUCAGUCGUAUAUAGCCAGCCCAAGUGACUGGUUAGAAGUAGCCAGUGAAAAUUGAAAAAUUGUAAAAUGUCUAGUUGAUAAAGACGCUGUUGGAGCACUCGGUAGUAUUAUUGGCUG
rnacentral:lncRNA from 1 species